rnacentral:rRNA from 1 species
CCUACGGGAGGCAGCAGUGGGGAAUAUUGGACAAUGGGGGAAACCCUGAUCCAGCGACGCCGCGUGAGUGAAGAAGUAUUUCGGUAUGUAAAGCUCUAUCAGCAGGGAAGAACAUGACGGUACCUGACUAAGAAUCCCCUGCUAACUACGUGCCAGCAGCCGCGGUAAUACGUAGGGGGCAAGCGUUCUCCGGAUUUACUGGGUGUAAAGGGAGCGUAGACGGUGUAGCAAGUCUGAUGUGAAAGGACGGGGCUCAACCCCGGGACUGCAUUGGAAACUGUGCGACUGGAGUGCAGGAGAGGUAAGUGGAAUUCCUAGUGUAGCGGUGAAAUGCGUAGAUAUUAGGAGGAACACCAGUGGCGAAGGCGGCUUACUGGACUGUAACUGACGUUGAGGCUCGAAAGCGUGGGGAGCAAACAGGAUUAGAUACCCUAGUAGUC